GGGUGAGUAACACGUGGGUAACCUACCCUUGGAAGGGGGAUAACACGAGGAAACUGGUGCUAAUACCGCAUAAGUCUAGUUGAUAAGGGAAAGGCGACCGAGGAGGGGCCCGCGUCCGAUUAGCUAGUUGGUGAAGUAAAGGUUCACCAAGGCGACAAUCGGUAGCCGGUCUGAGAGGACGGACGGCCACACUGGGACUGAGACACGGCCCAGACUCCUACGGGAGGCAGCAGUGGGGAAUUUUGCGCAAUGGGGGAAACCCUGACGCAGCAACGCCGCGUGAAGGAAGAAGGCUUUCGAGUCGUAAACUUCUGUUUCGGGGGACGACGGUACCCCGGCAGCAAGCCCCGGCUAACUCCGUGCCAGCAGCCGCGGUAAUACGGGGGGGGCGAGCGUUGUUCGGAAUUACUGGGCGUAAAGGGCGCGUAGGCGGUUGGAGAAGUUUCAGGUGAAAGCCCCGGGCUCAGCCCGGGAA
rnacentral:rRNA from 1 species